GAUGAACGCUGGCGGCGUGCCUAAUACAUGCAAGUCGAGCGAACUGUCGGGAACUUUCCCCCUAUGGUUUUCGCCGCGGACGUGAGUAUCACACGUGUAACCCCUCCCUAUAAGACGGGGAACACUUCGGAAAACCAGAUCUAACACCAUAACAUAUUUUACCACACGUCGUUCAAUAGUAAAAUACCGUUUUGCUAUCACUUAUAGAUGGACCCGCGCCGCAUUAGCUAGUUGGUAAGGUAACGGCUUACCAAGGCAACGAUGCGUAGCCGACCUGAGAGGGUGAUGGGCCACACUGGAACUGAGACACGGUCCGGACUCCUAGGGGAGGAAGCGGUGGGGAAUCUUCCGCAAUGGGGGAAGUCCUGACGGAGCAAGGCCGGGGGAGUGAUGAAGGUCUUCGGAUCGUAAGACUCUGUUAUUGGGGAAGAACAGAAGUGUAAGUAACUGGGCACAUCUUGACGGUACCUAAUCAGAAAGCCACGGCUAACUACGUG
rnacentral:rRNA from 1 species